GCCUACGGGGGGCAGCAGUGAGGAAUAUUGGUCAAUGGGCGAGAGCCUGAACCAGCCAAGUCGCGUGAAGGAAGAAGGUUCUAUGGAUUGUAAACUUCUUUUGCAUGGGAAUAAAGUGAGCUACGAGUAGUUUAUUGUAUGUACUGUGCGAAUAAGGAUCGGCUAACUCCGUGCCAGCAGCCGCGGUAAUACGGAGGAUCCGAGCGUUAUCCGGAUUUAUUGGGUUUAAAGGGUGCGUAGGCGGGAGAUUAAGUCAGCGGUGAAAGUUUGCAGCUUAACUGUAAAAUUGCCGUUGAAACUGAUUUUCUUGAGUGUAAAUAAGGUAGGCGGAAUGUGUUGUGUAGCGGUGAAAUGCAUAGAUAUAACACAGAACCCCGAUUGCGAAGGCAGCUUACCGGGCUACAACUGACGCUGAGGCACGAAAGCGUGGGGAUCAAACAGGAUUAGAUACCCCAGUAGUC
rnacentral:rRNA from 1 species